GGGGAAAGACUGGAUUACAGUAUUCUGCAAUGAAUAACUUUGCACUCAUCAAAAAACAAACAAACAAACAGAAACAAAUGAACAGCAAAAAAAAAGAAAACCCAAGAGUCCGAGAUAAAGCAAGUAACUGUAUAACAAAAGUAUGCCGAAGAAGGAUGUAUUAAAUAGCAUCAAGUACAUCACUGAAGCACAAAAAAAGGAAGAAGAAAAACCUCAGCCCUAACUGGCAGCAAAUAAAAGGUUGUUAACCACAUGGAGAUCUGUCUUUGGGCACUGCCAAAUUGAAAACUGGAUGGAACACAAUUUUGAAGAUUAUAACUGGAGAGAUGAUUAGAGGCAUGGGGGAAGCUUUUUCAAGGACUUACUAAGGAAAUGGGAUUGUAAUUAGAAAAGGAAAUGGAAUCAAGAGAAGAUUUCUUAAAGGUGAGCUGAAAAGGCUUUUGUAAACAGUAAAAACACACAUUCAGAAGCCACAUUGACAACACAAUGUUGCUGCAAGUUCACUUGUAAUUUUAAGCCUGCAAAUGAGUCAGAAGUGCAUUUUAAAUCUAAUUAGGUGAAAAUUUGUUUCUCUUCUGCAGCUCUCUCAGAAGCGGAGUAUAAGAUUCCAUGCUCAACAUGAGAAAAUUGAGAUGAUCUCUCAGCCCUGGGGUGGCCUGAUCCAGCCAACACUUGCAGAUGUGCUUAGUUUCAUUGGAAUAUUUCCCCACUGAUUUCACUAAUUUGAAUUUGAACAACAGCAAGACUGGAACACCAAGUCUUCAAGGUUUCAGCUGGUCCAGACAGAAAGGGAAAAAAUCGUGCUGAAAACAUUGAAAGAGAGAAGUAACGGAGAGAAAUGAAAGGAGAUAAGUAGGCUUGGGAAAAAGAGACAGAACAAGCACAGCUGAAGAGUCAGAAUAGACUACAUAUUUAUUUUCUUUAAAAAGGUAUGUUUCCUGUCCUUCCUGAUUGGAGAAGCAAUGCACCUGUGAGUUGCAGCCAAGCUCAUGAAGUGUUUUCUUACAGGCAUCUAAAGCUCUUCUUGAAAGCACUGGCCACUGCCCAAGACAGGAUGCUAUACUAG
rnacentral:lncRNA from 1 species